rnacentral:rRNA from 1 species
ACACAUGCAAGUCGAGCGGUAAGGCCCCUUCGGGGGUACACGAGCGGCGAACGGGUGAGUAACACGUGAGUAACCUGCCCCUGACUCUGGGAUAAGCCCGGGAAACCGGGUCUAAUACCGGAUACGACUUCUCACCGCAUGGUGGGGGGUGGAAAGGUUUGUUCCGGUUGGGGAUGGGCUCGCGGCCUAUCAGCUUGUUGGUGGGGUGAUGGCCUACCAAGGCGAUGACGGGUAGCCGGCCUGAGAGGGCGACCGGCCACACUGGGACUGAGACACGGCCCAGACUCCUGCGGGAGGCAGCAGUGGGGAAUAUUGCGCAAUGGGCGGAAGCCUGACGCAGCGACGCCGCGUGGGGGAUGACGGCCUUCGGGUUGUAAACCUCUUUUACCACUCACGAAGGCUCCCAGUGUUCUGGGGGUUGACGGUAGGUGGUGAAUAAGGACCGGCUAACUACGUGCCAGCAGCCGCGGUAAUACGUAGGGUCCGAGCGUUGUCCGGAAUUAUUGGGCGUAAAGAGCUCGUAGGCGGCCUGUCGCGUCUGCUGUGAAAGUCCGGGGCUUAACUUCGGGUGUGCAGUGGAUACGGGCAGGCUUGAGGUAGGUAGGGGAGACUGGAAUUCCUGGUGUAGCGGUGAAAUGCGCAGAUAUCAGGAGGAACACCGGUGGCGAAGGCGGGUCUCUGGGCCUUACCUGACGCUGA